GUCAAAGUUAAGUUUUUGAGUUUUGGUCUUUUUAUCUAAUACUAUAUGCCAUAGGUCAACUGUAUUUGGUGUAUGGAAAUAUUUUAUGAUCUUUAUGUUAGUCGCACAGGUUUUAUUUGACCGUGACCUCAUUUUCACGGUUCACUGCACAGUGUUAAGGUUUUGUGUUUUGGUCUAUUUUUCUUAAACUAUAAGUAAUCGGUCAACUAUAUAUGUUGUAUAGAAGCAUUGUUAGCUGUACAUGUCUGCCUGGCAUGGUUCAUCUGACCUUGACCUCAUUUUCAAGGUUCAUUGGUCUAUGUUUAGUUAUCUUGGUUAAUGUUAAGUUUAUGUGACAAUUGUUAUAAAGCUUAGCUUUAUACUUAGGACUAUCAACAUAAUAUCAAUGAUUAGUAUAGAAGGCGAGACAUUUCAGCGUGUGCACUCUUGUUAUU
rnacentral:lncRNA from 1 species